CAACAAUUCAGAUCAGCAGCUAUUCAUUUAGGUGCUGUCUACUAAGCACGAUUAAAUAUACAUAAACCAAUAUGCAUAAGUUCUUGUAGGACCAUAACAAAAGAUGUGACAAAGCAGAGCCUAUACCUCAAAAAAUGCAGAGUGAAAAUGAAACUUUUAGAAGUAUUAGAGAAUGGUUCAGGCAUAAAUAUGCUCACAGCCUCAAACCUCGUCGAGCAGUCAGAACCAAGAAUUUAAGGACACAGUGAAACACUAAAAUGCUAUGAUGCUGACUCAGAACUAACAUGAACCAGUCAAAUUCUCAUCAAAGUGAGACAUUCACUUUUACAACAAGUGAAACCAAGAAAUUAAAACUUAGAAAAAAAAAAAAAAGAAAGGUUAAACAUUAACUGUUA
rnacentral:misc_RNA from 1 species